rnacentral:rRNA from 1 species
GACAGAGGGUGCAAACGUUGUUCGGAAUUACUGGGCGUAAAGCGAGUGUAGGCGGUUCGGUAAGUCGGAUGUGAAAGCCCCGGGCUCAACCCGGGAAGUGCACUCGAUACUGCCGAGCUAGAGUAUCGGAGAGGUUGGUGGAAUUCUCGGUGUAGAGGUGAAAUUCGUAGAUAUCGAGAGGAACACCGGUGGCGAAGGCGGCCAACUGGACGAAUACUGACGCUGAGGCUCGAAAGCGUGGGGAGCAAACAGG